UUAUUUCUCCGAUCGUUCUACUUAUUGUAACUUCGCUAACACAAGGAAGAAGACAACUUGAUGAAACCGAUGAUUCACGGGAGGAGUAUGGAAGUAGCGAAAGCUGCGAGGAGGAAAAACAGCAUUCAGAUUACUUAUUAUACCAAAUUAACGCCAAACACGGCUACUACUUUCCUCGUCACAAAACACAAGAAAAAGUCGCCCUUUUAGACUACCGCAACAACGUCAGCGUUUUAUACGAUGGUCUAACAGGAGAUGCUUUCGGGUUUUUUUAUGAAAGAGGAAUUGGAUUUUACAUCCCAGCGGAAGUUACUGAUAAAACUUGGAACGUGAAGAAACAAAGUUACGAAGAGUAUUUCAAAGACCCAGUUCCACCACAAGAAAUUAUUUCUAUUGGUAAAAAAAAGGGAAUUCAGUUUGAUCCACAACUCAUUUCGGACGAAUUAGCCGAGAAGAU